rnacentral:rRNA from 1 species
CAGCAGCCACGGGAAUACGAAGGGGGCUAGCGUUGUUCGGAUUUACUGGGCGUAAAGGGUGCGCAGGCGGAUUUUUAAGUCAGGGGUGAAAUCCCAAGGCUCAACCUUGGAACUGCCUUUGAUACUGGAGAUCUUGAGUCCGGGAGAGGUGAGUGGAACUGCGAGUGUAGAGGUGAAAUUCGUAGAUAUUCGCAAGAACACCAGUGGCGAAGGCGGCUCACUGGCCCGGUACUGACGCUGAGGCACGAAAGCGUGGGGAGCAAACAGGAUUAGAUACCCCUGUAGUCCCUGUCUCUUAUAC